rnacentral:lncRNA from 1 species
UGAAUACUUACCAUCAUUGUGAAGAGUUGCUCUCUCUGUAGUUUAUUGUCAGUUUUAUUGUUGAAUAAGUUCUAGGUCGUAGACCAAGUGGCUGGCAACAGCAACGUGUGUAGAAGUGCACUCACAAAGACACUUUUGUUGCUUGCUUCAGGGAGUUCAAAGACACUUUUUUUGCUGUUAAUUUUAUGUAACUAUCCCUCCUUAUGUCUGCACCUAUAGUGUUUUUAUUCAGUCCACGACUGACAUCAGUGCAGUAUAAUCUCUGCUCUGAAGUCCUGGAGACUCUGACAGAUGAGGCAGUUUCUCACCAGAGAAUUCUCUUGCUGCUCACAAUAAUCAAUCAAACUCUGGGACCCGACAACCAAAAUCAACAGAGGCAACAAAUCAGGGUCCCAGGCAAUAACAGGAUCAAAUAUGCACCCUUUUGGAAAACCCUUGAAAUUUACUGUAGUAGUGCUGUUUUGCUGAUAUUCCCAUUCCACCGCCUACACUUCAUUAGAAACAGGACUCUUGCUGCUACUUUGAAAUAACACACUUUUAAGAACAUGCACUAAUUUUUCUCACAAAUAAAACCAAUUAUAUUAAAU